ACCCGGCUAUCAAAUCACAGUGGAGAACAACGACUGAACAACAAUGGAAAAGCAGUAAAUAUUCCUGGUCUCCGAGUAUCCAUUUCUCUACUAGAUGACAUCUCUGGACUACAACAGUAGUGAUAUGAAAAAUAAUGCUUGGAGCAAAAUUUCUUUCACUGUGGAUCUAGCUAAAUGCUGUGCCCCCCAAAGCACUCUCCAGCUGGGUGUUUUCAAAAGAGCUGGCUGAAAAAAAAAGCAUGGGUGGACACGUGGCCUAAGAAAGGGUGAAGGUUUUUGCUUCUUUAAGAGUUCAUUGUAACCAGUAGCUCAAAUGAAGUGACGUCCCCCUGUUUAUUCUACUUUUCACAUAGUGUAAACUUCUGGAGUGCUGCAUCAGUGGACAAACUGACUUAUGGUCUUAAGCUACAAGUUGACAAGUAUCCGCAAGAACAGUGAGUCGCCAAGGACUUUCCUUUUCUUAAUUAUGAUGACGCAUUUGGUGGUGUGCCAGAGAAGCACUUUCCUGUGCCACGGAGCAUCUUUAUUUUCUACCAUCUACAAGAGCUGCAGAAGGGGUCCCUGUGCUCUCGGGGGACUGUAACACCAUUUAUUCCUGAUUCUUUUAAGAUUUCAGAGCACACAAUGUAAAUAUUGCUUUCACUCAACUCAAGAUAGCUGUUGUCCAAUUUUGUUUUGUUGUGCACCCAUACACUGUUUGUACUGGAUAAAAAUACUCAAGGAAUACCUUUUUUAUUCUAUCUUUAUUCUUUCUUUUGACCUCACCCUGAAAGUAAAGCUUUGGUUUUGAUUCAGUGCCAAGUGCUUAUCAAAUAUACCUGUUUGUGUGUGUGUGUGUGUGUGUGAGAGAGAGAGAGACUGAGAAAUAGUGGUGUUUCAUUUCAGAGGAUAAAGAGAUGCAAGGAGAACUCCUCUCCAAGGAAUUGCAAAUCAUGAGAGGCAUGAGAGGAAAGCUUGCGGCUAAAUGUCUUGUCAAGCACUUUUUGAAAGUGGUCUCCCCUGCGAUUGACCUUCUUUAUAAGCAAAGCCAGCAAUAAAACAAGGUGACCACAGCAGCAAAGCUUCACCCGUUUUAUUAUCCCCCAUCUCUUUCUUCUUUUCUUUUCUUCUGACUACUCUUUUGGUUCAGUGGUUCAAUAUUCGAAGCAACAAAACAACAAUCGACAAGUUAACAUUUGUUGAAAAUGUC
ensembl:lncRNA